CUUUUUCCUGGACGAGGUUGCUUUAAGUUUCUUUCCACAGCUCGCUCUGGGAUUGCCAAAAGGCUUGAUGAAAAAUACUAACUGGCUAAUUCUGGAGCACGUGCGAACUGAUUGCUGAUCUCUGUAGAGCAGGGUAGCCAGGCCUGUCCUUGUCACAGAUCUCUGUCUUAAAGGUGGAAAAAUGCACCUGUAGAUGUGGAUGUAGAUGGAGAUGUAGAGGGCAGGGCAUGGGAAACGAAGCCAGCGAGGCUUAGCUCUUCCACCCAUAGGCUCCUCUGACUUUUCUGGCCAACUACAAACCAUUCUACCUUUCUCAUUCCCCAGAUCCCUUUAAAAUAAUAUUUAUGGAGGUAUGUAUUAACGUCCAAUCAAUUCAUCCCUAAAUCAGUAAUAAUAAAGUUUUUACAUGAAGGGAUGUAUUUCUUUUCCCUGAACUGUACAGCAGGCUGCUAACCCAUCUCUUGGGGUGUGUAAAGGAAAAAAGAGCUGCUCCUAGGUAAUUAUCAGCUUGAUAAUUAUCACCUGUGAGAAAUAAAUUCAAGCUUUAAGCACCCUAUUUAGUAGAUAAGAUCAGAUUCUGUAGGAGAUAACUACAAGGAGCCUGUCUGCCAUUGUUUUUCUGUGUCUGUCAAUAUGAUCCUUAGUUUCUGCCUGAAGAAACCUAUCUUUUUAAAGAUAAACCUAUCUUUUUAAAGACGGAUUACUUGAAAAAUAGUUUCCAAAACAUACCCGAACCCUGGCAAUAUAAACCAUAGUCAUUAGAAAAAUGCAGAAAUGAUUCAAGUUGCUGUGCUCUUUCAUGUUGGCAAGAGAUUUUAAUAUAAUGUCACUAAUGUUCAAAAUAAUAGUAUUAUGAUCAAUUUCUUGUUAAUAUCAAACUAGAGAAGCAUUCUUUUAAUCUGCUUGAUUCUCAUAGUAGGAGAGGCUAGAGGUGACUUCAGCUACCCCUAGAUCUAUAAAAGGUUUGGGUCACCAGAGGUAAUAUUCUGCCUAUUCAGUGUGAUGUUUUACAGCCUGAAGCAAGCUUUAGUAUGAAAGGACAACGUAGGAUGGCCAGUUCUCACUUAAGAACAUGGUCAUACAUCUGCAUACUCUUUCUAGUGACUAGCCAGCUAAUUUUAUCUCUGAAAUUCUGCAUAUGAAACACAUUCUUGUCGUUACAUGGCAACUUAACAUCAACAAGCAACCCUUUCUGCAACAAAUCCUUAGGACUAUUUCUGAAGAAAGAACAACAGUGGAAGAGAGCCAUAUUUAAAAACUCCAGCAUUUGCAAAUAGCUAUUACAGUCUGUAAUGUUGUAACAUGUUUUUAAAAUAUCUAUUUUAGGACAUGCAUACUUAUAUCAGUCUGCUGGUCUUAGAAAGAUACCGAUUAAAUAGACAUCAUCCUGUAGACUACUUUCUAGGUUAUGGGGAUUGUAAAACAAGUUAUACAAGAGAUCAUGAAACUAUAGAACCUCAAAGGAGCCUCUGCUUUUUUUUCUGCUGGUGUAUGGAUCCCCUUUCUCCCUGGAUCACAUGAAAGAGUUCUAUUAAUGUGAAUUGGCUUAUGUUUGAGAACACUAUGCUGGAUAGCUAUGAAGUGUAAGGAAUCUGACCCAGGGAGCUGCAGGGCUGUGACACAUCAGUUCUUUACAGGGAUUCUCAGUUGCUGGAUGAGAAUAACACAAGAUAGGUCCCGUACACCGUGUGCAGUCUGCUGUCAUCGUUGUUGGUGGUAUACUGGUUACUUGAGGCAGUGAGACAAGCUCCGUGAUACACCAAUGUAACUGGAAUUUGCCCCUCUGGCUUUCAUUCCAGGGCUAUAACUAAGUGUCAGGCUGUCUCUCCCACUUGACUAACUCAGUAAGUUAAGUUUGGGAAAACUAUUCAUGACUAACACACAUAGCCAUGGCAUGGCUACAAGUGAUUGUUGCCUUAAGAAAAACACUGCGAGCCAGCACUGCUCUGCAUAUUUCAUGAGGAAUGCUUUGCUGGAGUUCAGAACAAACACUCGAAGUCUGGGAAUGCUGGUGGAUUACCUGGCAGGAGGAGAGAAGGAAAAAGCAGAAGUCUCUUGCCACCAUGCCAUUCUUCAUCCCUUCGCCUGUGUUUAGUCUUCUCUCGCCCACACAGUCAGCCAGGAGGGAAAGCAGCUCGUCUUUUCUCACUACGGAUAAGAUGGAUCUUUCAGCCCACUUGUCUGAAUGUAGUGGUUGAAGAAAGCAAGCCCAACAACAGGGUUAAUUUUACUCCAAGGGAAGCAAGCCUUAACUAUCUUCCAUAGAAGAGCAUUACAUCUGUGACCUUUGUGGAAAAAAACAACAUGCCACUUCAGCACAGAGAUGUCUUAACUCCCAAAGGAGGUGUCACUGAAAACAGAAACCCACACCAAUCGCCAAAACGACUUUUAAACAGAGCAGAUUUUCGGUUGCACUUCUGAAAAAUUCUCCUGUGGAAUACAUUAUUUCAGAGAGGAAAAAACGUAUUCCAUUUUAAUAGGUCAGGAGCUAGAUGCCUUUAAAUACAUGUAAUAAAAAUAUAAUCAAGUCAGCACAACAUGUGAAGAAAUGACUGCUGUGAUAAGAUAAAGCCUACUGCAGAAGUACUUAGGUUGAAGUUGACUGCUUGCACGGUGUUGGCAAUGUCUAAAGGGUGAUAACUGCCAGAGAUUGCUAUAAAGAAAAAUGAAUUCCCAUGAGUUUACUGGGAAUACAGAAAUUACUGGCAUAUUAAAAGUCCAAAUAGUUGAUGUGCAGUUAUGCAGAAUACUAUGGACACAACUCUACAGAGUGCUAACUGGCUCUUUUUCUUUUCUCCCUUCAAAAACCUGUUCUGCAUUUGCUUUUAAUUCCUUUGUUCCUCCAUUAAAAAUGUAUGGGAUGGACCACCAAGGCAGCAGCUGUCUGGCUAUUCUCUGCUCUGAUGCAUCAUUAAUGUAUGUAUAUGCUUCCUGCUCCUUGCAAAGACUUUUUUUUUUCCUUUUUAUUUUUAUUUAUUUAUUUAUUUUUUCUAAAAUACACUGCUAUUUGAGUGCAGGUAAAUAAUGGAAGGUUUUGAGCAUUUUUGCCUGUGCCAGGGUGACUCUCGCAGGUUGUCGUAGCAACACUGUGUCAGUGUGUCACUUAAUGAAAUAUUCCUAAUCGUUAAAAAGAAAUCCUUAAAAAGGAGUUCCUGGUGCCUAAAAGGGUCUGAUCCUGCCCAUUUUUUUCCCCAACAUCCCAGCAGAUUGGGUCCCACGUUUUUCAGAGCUCUAUUAAUAAUUGUUCCCCUGGAAAUAACUUCUCAGACUGGCACAACGUAUACUGUGAGGUGAUGGGCUGUAACCUAAUCCACUGUGCUGAAAGAGUAUCUGGUGCCAGGUUUUUACCUCCCACAGGAUUAUCUGUAAAUACGGAAAGAAAAGCUUCUGCAAAACCCAAGUAUAUAAACAUACACUUACUUCUACACAAAAGCAAAUUCCCCUCAUCUGUAUUUGCUUGCAGAGCUGGCAGCUGACUGGCAAAUAUCUCAGACGUUUUAUUUCUGGUGUUUUCAAUUAGUUUAGGACCCAUUUCAGAUUACCAGGAUUGUCUGUAUGUCAGAAACAGCUGUCACUGUGCAACAGGUCCUGUGUUGCAAUUUUCU